UCCCUGGUGGUCCAGUGGUCAGGACUUUGCAUUUUCACUGCUGUGGACCCAGGUUCAAUCCCUGGUCAGGGAA